GUGGGGAAUCUUCCGCAAUGGACGAAAGUCUGACGGAGCGACGCCGCGUGAGUGAAGAAGGCCUUCGGGUCGUAAAGCUCUGUCAUCAGGGACGAACGGCCGGUGGAGUGGAAAGCCACCGGAUUGACGGUACCUGAGAAGGAAGCCACGGCUAACUACGUGCCAGCAGCCGCGGUAAUACGUAGGUGGCAAGCGUUGUCCGGAAUUAUUGGGCGUAAAGCGCGCGCAGGUGGGAUCUUAAGUCCAUUUUUAAAGUUCGGAGCUCAACUCCGUGAUGGGAUGGAAACUGGGAUUCUUGAGUAACGGAGAGGAAAGCGGAAUUCCCCGUGUAGCGGUGAAAUGCGUAGAUAUGGGGAGGAACACCAGUGGCGAAGGCGGCUUUCUGGACGGUGUCUGACACUGAGGCGCGAAAGCCAGGGGAGCGAACGGGAUUAGAAACCCGUGUAGUCC
rnacentral:rRNA from 1 species